ACGGAAGGCAGCAGUAGGGAAUAUUGCACAAUGGGGGGAACCCUGAUGCAGCAACGCCACGUGUGGGAAGAAGCAUUUCGGUGUGUAAACCACUGUCGUGAGGGAAUAAUGCUUGGCUCCGGCCAAGUUGAAUGUACCUCGAAAGGAAGCACCGGCAAACUUCGUGCCAGCAGCCGCGGUAAUACGAGGGGUGCAAGCGUUGUUCGGAAUCACUGGGCGUAAAGGGAGCGUAGGCGGAGGAGCAAGCAGUCUGUACAAUACCGGGGCCCAACCCCGGACCUGCAGACUGGACUGUUUCUCUUGGAUAGUUCAGGGGCUGGCGGAAUUCCUGGUGUAGCGGUGGAAUGCGUAGAGAUCAGGAGGAACACCAGUGGCGAAGGCGGCUUACUGGACUGUAACUGACGUUGAGGCUCGAAAGCGUGGGGAGCAAACAGGAUUAGAUACCCUGGUA
rnacentral:rRNA from 1 species